rnacentral:rRNA from 1 species
AUUGAACGCUAGCGGGAUGCCUUACACAUGCAAGUCGAACGGAGUGGCGAACGGGUGAGCAAUGUAUCGGAACGAGCCCAGUAGCGGGGGAUAACUACGCGAAAGCGUAGCUAAUACCGCCUACUAUCGGAGCGGCCGCUAUCGGAUUGGCUAGCUGGUGGGGUAACGGCUCACCAAGGCGACGAUCCGUAGAUGGGUUGAGAGGACGACCAGCCACACUGAGACUGAGACACGGCCCAGACUCCUACGGGAGGCAGCAGUGGGGAAUUUUGUACAAUGGGGGAAACCCUGAUCCAGCCAUCCCGCGUGUGCUAUGAAGGCCUUCGGGUUGUAAAGCACUUUUGGCAGGAAAGCGGUACCUGCAGAAUAAGCACCUGCUAACUACGUGCCAGCAGCCGCGGUAAUUC